rnacentral:rRNA from 1 species
UUAAGCGACUAAGCGUACACGGUGGAUGCCCUGGCAGUCAGAGGCGAUGAAGGACGUGCUAAUCUGCGAUAAGCGCCGGUAAGGUGAUAUGAACCGUUAUAACCGGCGAUUUCCGAAUGGGGAAACCCAGUGUGACUCGUCACACUAUCAUUAACUGAAUCCAUAGGUUAAUGAGGCGAACCGGGGGAACUGAAACAUCUAAGUACCCCGAGGAAAAGAAAUCAACCGAGAUUCCCCCAGUAGCGGCGAGCGAACGGGGAGGAGCCCAGAGCCUGAAUCAGCAUGUGUGUUAGUGGAAGCGUCUGGAAAGGCGCGCGAUACAGGGUGACAGCCCCGUACACAAAAGCGCAUAUGCUGUGAGCUCGAUGAGUAGGGCGGGACACGUGGUAUCCUGUCUGAAUAUGGGGGGACCAUCCUCCAAGGCUAAAUACUCCUGACUGACCGAUAGUGAACCAGUACCGUGAGGGAAAGGCGAAAAGAACCCCGGCGAGGGGAGUGAAAAAGAACCUGAAACCGUGUACGUACAAGCAGUGGGAGCCCCACCACUAAGCCAGUGGUGAACUCCACAUACGCAUCCUUUGCUGAGGAUACGGUUAACGGAGCGAAAGCGACGUUCAACCGCAAAAGAAGCAGAGGGGGCUUAGUGGUGGGGUGACUGCGUACCUUUUGUAUAAUGGGUCAGCGACUUAUAUUCUGUAGCAAGGUUAACCGAAUAGGGGAGCCGGAGGGAAACCGAGUCUUAACCGGGCGUUAAGUUGCAGGGUAUAGACCCGAAACCCGGUGAUCUAGCCAUGGGCAGGUUGAAGGUUGGGUAACACUAACUGGAGGACCGAACCGACUAAUGUUGAAAAAUUAGCGGAUGACCUGUGGCUGGGGGUGAAAGGCCAAUCAAACCGGGAGAUAGCUGGUUCUCCCCGAAAGCUAUUUAGGUAGCGCCUCGUGAAUUCAUCUCCGGGGGUAGAGCACUGUUUCGGCUAGGGGGCCAUCCCGGCUUACCAACCCGAUGCAAACUGCGAAUACCGGAGAAUGUUAUCACGGGAGACACACGGCGGGUGCUAACGUCCGUCGUGAAGAGGGAAACAACCCAGACCGCCAGCUAAGGUCCCAAAGUCAUGGUUAAGUGGGAAACGAUGUGGGAAGGCCCAGACAGCCAGGAUGUUGGCUUAGAAGCAGCCAUCAUUUAAAGAAAGCGUAAUAGCUCACUGGUCGAGUCGGCCUGCGCGGAAGAUGUAACGGGGCUAAACCAUGCACCGAAGCUGCGGCAGCGACGCUGAUGCGUUGUUGGGUAGGGGAGCGUUCUGUAAGCCUGUGAAGGUGGCCUGUGAGGGUUGCUGGAGGUAUCAGAAGUGCGAAUGCUGACAUAAGUAACGAUAAAGCGGGUGAAAAGCCCGCUCGCCGGAAGACCAAGGGUUCCUGUCCAACGUUAAUCGGGGCAGGGUGAGUCGACCCCUAAGGCGAGGCCGAAAGGCGUAGUCGAUGGGAAACGGGUUAAUAUUCCCGUACUUGGUGUUACUGCGAAGGGGGGACGGAGAAGGCUAUGUUGGCCGGGCGACGGUUGUCCCGGUUUAAGCGUGUAGGUGUGUGUUCCAGGUAAAUCCGGUUCACUUUAACACUGAGGCGUGAUGACGAGGCACUACGGUGCUGAAGCAACAAAUGCCCUGCUUCCAGGAAAAGCCUCUAAGCAUCAGGUAACAUCAAAUCGUACCCCAAACCGACACAGGUGGUCAGGUAGAGAAUACCAAGGCGCUUGAGAGAACUCGGGUGAAGGAACUAGGCAAAAUGGUGCCGUAACUUCGGGAGAAGGCACGCUGACACGUAGGUGAAGUGAUUUACUCAUGGAGCUGAAGUCAGUCGAAGAUACCAGCUGGCUGCAACUGUUUAUUAAAAACACAGCACUGUGCAAACACGAAAGUGGACGUAUACGGUGUGACGCCUGCCCGGUGCCGGAAGGUUAAUUGAUGGGGUCAGCGCAAGCGAAGCUCCUGAUCGAAGCCCCGGUAAACGGCGGCCGUAACUAUAACGGUCCUAAGGUAGCGAAAUUCCUUGUCGGGUAAGUUCCGACCUGCACGAAUGGCGUAAUGAUGGCCAGGCUGUCUCCACCCGAGACUCAGUGAAAUUGAACUCGCUGUGAAGAUGCAGUGUACCCGCGGCAAGACGGAAAGACCCCGUGAACCUUUACUAUAGCUUGACACUGAACAUUGAGCCUUGAUGUGUAGGAUAGGUGGGAGGCUUUGAAGUGUGGACGCCAGUCUGCAUGGAGCCGGCCUUGAAAUACCACCCUUUAAUGUUUGAUGUUCUAACGUGGACCCGUGAUCCGGGUUGCGGACAGUGUCUGGUGGGUAGUUUGACUGGGGCGGUCUCCUCCUAAAGAGUAACGGAGGAGCACGAAGGUUGGCUAAUCCUGGUCGGACAUCAGGAGGUUAGUGCAAUGGCAUAAGCCAGCUUGACUGCGAGCGUGACGGCGCGAGCAGGUGCGAAAGCAGGUCAUAGUGAUCCGGUGGUUCUGAAUGGAAGGGCCAUCGCUCAACGGAUAAAAGGUACUCCGGGGAUAACAGGCUGAUACCGCCCAAGAGUUCAUAUCGACGGCGGUGUUUGGCACCUCGAUGUCGGCUCAUCACAUCCUGGGGCUGAAGUAGGUCCCAAGGGUAUGGCUGUUCGCCAUUUAAAGUGGUACGCGAGCUGGGUUUAGAACGUCGUGAGACAGUUCGGUCCCUAUCUGCCGUGGGCGCUGGAGAACUGAGGGGGGCUGCUCCUAGUACGAGAGGACCGGAGUGGACGCAUCACUGGUGUUCGGGUUGUCAUGCCAAUGGCACUGCCCGGUAGCUAAAUGCGGAAGAGAUAAGUGCUGAAAGCAUCUAAGCACGAAACUUGCCCCGAGAUGAGUUCUCCCUGAGACUUUAGGUCUCCUGAAGGAACGUUGAAGACGACGACGUUGAUAGGCCGGGUGUGUAAGCGCAGCGAUGCGUUGAGCUAACCGGUACUAAUGAACCGUGAGGCUUAACCUU